rnacentral:rRNA from 1 species
AGUACGUAGUUUGAUCAGUGGCUACAGGAUAGAACGCUGGCGGCGUGCCUAAUACAUGCAAGUCGAACGAAUCACUUCGGUGGUUAGUGGCGAACGGGUGAGUAAUACGUAAGCAACCUGCCUAUGGGACUGGGAUAACGUUUGGAAACGGACGCUAAUACCGGAUAGGUAAAGGAGAGGCAUCUCUUCUCUAUUAAAGUUUAGAUACACCGAUAGAUGGGCUUACGGCGCAUUAGCUAGUUGGUGAGGUAACGGCUCACCAAGGCGAUGAUGCGUAGCCGGACUGAGAGGUUGAACGGCCACAUUGGGACUGAGACACGGCCCAAACUCCUACGGGAGGCAGCAGUAGGGAAUUUUCGGCAAUGGGGGAAACCCUGACCGAGCAACGCCGCGUGAGUGAAGACGGCCUUCGGGUUGUAAAGCUCUGUUGUAAAGGAAGAAUGGCAUGGAUAGAAUCCAUGAGUGACGGUACUUUACCAGAAAGCCACGGCUAACUACGUG